GAUGAACGCUGGCGGCGUGCCUAAUACAUGCAAGUCGAGCGAACAGACGAGGAGCUUGCUCCUCUGACGUUAGCGGCGGACGGGUGAGUAACACGUGGAUAACCUACCUAUAAGACUGGGAUAACUUCGGGAAACCGGAGCUAAUACCGGAUAAUAUAUUGAACCGCAUGGUUCAAUAGUGAAAGACGGUUUUGCUGUCACUUAUAGAUGGAUCCGCGCCGCAUUAGCUAGUUGGUAAGGUAACGGCUUACCAAGGCAAUGAUGCGUAGCCGACCUGAGAGGUUGAUCGGCCACACUGGAACUGAGACACGGUCCAGACUCCUACGGGAGGCAGCAGUAGGGAAUCUUCCGCAAUGGGCGAAAGCCUGACGGAGCAACGCCGCGUGAGUGAUGAGGGUCUUCGGUUCGUAAAACUCUGUUAUGAGAAAAGAACAAAUGUGUAAGUAACUAUGCACGUCUGGACGGUACCUAAGCAGAAAGCCACGGCUAACUACGU
rnacentral:rRNA from 1 species